rnacentral:rRNA from 1 species
UACAUGGGGGUGCAAACGUUGCUCGGAAUUAUUGGGCGUAAAGCGCACGUAGGCGGUUCGUUAAGUCGGAUGUGAAAGCCCUCGGCUCAACUGAGGAAGUGCACCCGAAACUGGCGAGCUUGAGUACGAAAGAGGAUCGCGGAAUUCCCGGUGUAGAGGUGAAAUUCGUAGAUAUCGGGAGGAACACCGGUGGCGAAGGCGGCGAUCUGGGUCGAUACUGACGCUGAGGUGCGAAAAGCGUGGGGGAGCAAACAGG